rnacentral:misc_RNA from 1 species
GACGCCAUAUUAACGAAGUAACUUUGCACGGGAGGUCCUACAUUUCUUUUACAUUUAAUUAAUAAUUUAUUUGUGAGCAUCGCCCCACACCGCCCGCGUUGCAAAAUAUUACAAGUGCGAAAUCCAUCUUCCCAUCCGGCUAUUAAAUUCGUUAUAAUUAUCCCCGCUUGCCCUCGCCACUAAUGCUUGUAGUAAUUAGCUGUCAUUUCUAGAUGUAGAUGCAAUAUGGCGAUUGAGAUAAAGUUCACAAAGUUCGACAACACGCCAUGGGGCUUUCGACUGGCGGGCGGCAGUGACUUUCCGCAGCCAUUGACUGUCAUUAGAGUGUCCGAGGGAAGUCUUGCGGAAUGUAUGGGAUUAAAAGUUGGUGACGUGGUGGUGAGAUUGAACGAUCAGUCCGUAUGUGGAUUGACCCACGGCCAAGCCCACGAGGCCCUCAUUUUGGCAGGAAAUAAUUUUGUUCUUGGUGUUCACAGAGCUGGUGAAACAAACGGGCUCAACGGUAUAUCCGAAGACAACAUCGUGCCUUACACCAUUCCCCUCGAGGAACUGCAACCCAUCUUUCCAGAGGAAAUACUGAAGCCAAAAACACCGGAACCGCCGGAAGAGGAAAAGGAAGAAGCCAAGGAAGCUCCGGAAGAGCAGGAACAGCGUCAAGAAGAGGCCGAAAAGUCAAACGGACCUCCUGGCGAUCCUAGUCAGGACCUGACGGACGAACAAAUAGCUCAGUUAAUCCUCGAAGAAGAGGAACUCCUGUCCGACAAGGGUCUCUUAGGAGUGAACUUCAAGAAGCUGAGACCGCGAGCGCCUCUCCUGAAGGAGUCGAAGGUCUUCCAGGAAUUGCAGAAAAUCGCGGUGGCGGAGCCACCUCGGGUCCAGGAGCUGAAGAGGACCACGACUUUCCUGCAGAAACCGCAGCGACCCGUGCCAGGACCCAAGAAGAAGGAGUCGGAGCCCGAGUCCACGGAGUCCUACAAAGUGGUGAUCAGGAAGCAGCAGAAGAAGAGCGUCACCGAGCGUCUCCUGGAGAAGGGACUUCUGGGUCCCAGGGAUUUAUCAAAGUCCCCGGAAUCCGAGGCCAGAUCCGAGAAGGUCACCCCAGCCCCAACUCCGGAACCAUCGAAACCCGAUUCGGAUUUGGAAUCGAAGGUCGAAGAAGUUGUCGAAAUAACCGAAGAGCAACAGGAGGAAGAAGAGGACACGAUGGGCAAGAAAACCGUCGUUUUCGAGGAAUACGUGGAGGAGAAGUACUGCGAGAAACGAGAGUCGCCCCAAGUCGACAAGGAGAAAAUCCGGGAAUUGGUGUCGACGGAGAUCAGCCUGGAGAAGCAAUUGGAGAACGUUCAGAACCAGCUGAUGGCCCUGAAACAAUUACCCAGCGAGAUCGAGAACCACCUCAGGAUCGUUUCGGAGCAGUUGUAUAAAAUAAUGGAGCUGAGCGGUGUUCAGAACGGAAGUAGGAUCGACGCGGGUCGAUCAGACCAAUGGCAGACGGUGACGGAGGAGACCAAAACGGAAACUCGGAGGCAAGAAGAAGUCCGGGAGGCCGAAACGCUCGUCGAGGAAGACGUCGAAGAGGCGAUAGAGGAGACUCGGACUUGGAGCCGGAUCGGCAGUUCCGAGGAACGUCUUUUGGAGAACGAGAUCCCGGAGAUCGUCGAGCCCGAGCAGGAUCGCCUGUCGGAGCCCCAGGAGCUGGAAAUCCAGGUGAAGGGUUCCGACGAGGAGGGAAGCAGGGUGAAGAAGUUCAUCGUCUCUUACGAGUCUCAGGUCAUCGGGUCCAGGACGGCGAGUCCUGCGAUUUCGGACACACAAGAAGAAAGGCAGGAAACCCUCUCAGGAAUUGUGGCCGCAGGCUAGGCAGCUCGAGCUGACUCAAGGCAGGAGAUGGAGAUGUCCCAAUGACUUUUUCAACGACGAGAUGAUCGCCGAGGUCUUGUCAUCGCAGGCAGAAGUCAUCCGUGGCAGGACGCUGGGGGUCAACUUCAAGAAGUUCGAGAAGACCCACCUGCCCAACUACGACCACCUGAUGAACUCGAGCGUCUACAAGAUGAUUCACAAGAUGGAAAAGGAGCCCUCGAAGGGGAUUCCCGCGAGGCCGCCGAAAGUUAACGCCGCC